GAUGAAGAACGUAGCGAAAUGCGAUAAGUAAUGUGAAUUGCAGAAUUCAGUGAAUCAUCGAAUCUUUGAACGCACCUUGCGCCCUUUGGCCAUUCCGAAGGGCAUGCCUGUUUGAGUAUCAUGAACACCUCAACUCUUUAUGGUUUUCCAUGAUGAGCUUGGACUCUGGGGGUUUUGCUGGCUCACAGUCGGCUCCUCUAAAAUGAAUCAGCUUACCAGUGUUUGGUGGGUAUCAUGGGUGUGAUAACUAUCUACGCUUGUGGUUUUUCCACCAGGUAACCUUCAGCAGUGGAGGUUCGCUGGAGCUCAUAGAUGUCUCUCCUCAGUGAGGACAGCCCUUUGAAUGUUUGAUCUCAAAUCAGGUAGGACUACCCGCUGAACUUAAGCAUAUCAAUAAGCGGGGA
rnacentral:misc_RNA from 1 species